rnacentral:rRNA from 1 species
UACGUAGGGUGCAAGCGUUAUCCGGAUUACUGGGUGUAAAGGGAGCGCAGACGGAACUGCAAGUCUGAUGUGAAAGCCCGGGGCUCAACCGCGGGACUGCAUUGGAAACUGUAGAUCUGGAGUGCCGGAGGGGCAAGCGGAAUUCCUGGUGUAGCGGUGAAAUGCGUAGAUAUUACACAGAACACCGAUUGCGAAGGCAGCUUACUAAUCCAUCAUUGACGCUGAGGCACGAAAGCGUGGGGAUCAAACAGGAUUA